UCUGUCAUUUUCUGAAUAAUUUUUCAAUUUUUUCUCUCUUUUUUUUUUCAAUUUUUUCAUCAAAUCUCAAUUUUCAGUUUUUUAGGAAAAAAUGCUACAAGACGAUACUUUUUACAAAAUAAAUUGCCAACGCAGCCAAACAUUUGGAGUAUUUUCAAUUUCUGGAACAUUUUAUUACAUAAUUUUUUCAAUAUUUGCACAAAUGAAACAGUUAUCGAGGGUUAUUUUUUCGACAACAUUAUUCUUCAUAACUUUUUUUUUUUGCAAGUACGAAAAGAAUAUUGUGCAAAAAAGUUUGUGCAAUUUUCUUCACGAAUUUCGAUUCGGGAAUUUUUUGAAGUAAAUACAAAAUGAACGUCUCAUCUAGAAAUUUUUUUUUCUAGAUGCAUAUAUGUCGGAGUUGCUAUUUACCCUACUUAACCGGAUUGAUAUAGUGUGAAGAAUCCAAGAGAA
rnacentral:lncRNA from 1 species